rnacentral:misc_RNA from 1 species
UGAUUGCCUGCGGUAGACUAGUUU